UCCGGUGGCCAUAGCGGAGGGGAAACACCCGUUCCCAUUCCGAACACGGCAGUUAAGCCCUCCAGCGCCAAUGGUACUGGGACGAUAGGUCCCGGGAGAGUAGGUCGCUGCCGGAA
rfam:Carboxydothermus hydrogenoformans Z-2901, complete genome.